GUGAACAGUCACGGGAGUGAUUUUCCCAAGGGCCAAAUAGAGACAGCAAGUCUUGUGGGUUGUUCCCAGUAUGCAUUGGUUAGUACCUACCAAAAGUGGUGCAAGGAAGGACAGCCUGUGGACUGGUGUCAGGGUCAUGGACGCCCGAGGUUCAUUGAUGCACAUAGGGAGUGAAGGUUAGCCUGUCUGGUUCGUUUACACAGAAAGCUACUGUAGCUCAAAUUGCUGAAAAACAUAUUGCUGGCCAUGAUAGAAAGGUAUCAGAACACGCAGUGUAUCGUAGUUUGCUGCGUAUGGCACUGUGUAGAUGCAGACCGGUCAGUGCCCAUGAUGACCCCUGUCCAACUCUGAAAGCACCUUCAAUGAAGACAUGUGUCGGAAAUGGAGCCAUGGAAGAAGGUUGC